rnacentral:rRNA from 1 species
GGGGUUAGUGGCGGACGGGUGAGUAACACGUGGGAACGUGCCUUUAGGUUCGGAAUAGCUCCUGGAAACGGGUGGUAAUGCCGAAUGUGCCCUUCGGGGGAAAGAUUUAUCGCCUUUAGAGCGGCCCGCGUCUGAUUAGCUAGUUGGUGAGGUAACGGCUCACCAAGGCGACGAUCAGUAGCUGGUCUGAGAGGAUGACCAGCCACACUGGGACUGAGACACGGCCCANACUCCUACGGGAGGCAGCAGUGGGGAAUCUUGCGCAAUGGGCGAAAGCCUGACGCAGCCAUGCCGCGUGAAUGAUGAAGGUCUUAGGAUUGUAAAAUUCUUUCACCGGGGACGAUAAUGACGGUACCCGGAGAAGAAGCCCCGGCUAACUUCGUGCCAGCAGCCGCGGUAAUACGAAGGGGGCUAGCGUUGCUCGGAAUUACUGGGCGUAAAGGGCGCGUAGGCGGAUCGUUAAGUCAGAGGUGAAAUCCCAGGGCUCAACCCUGGAACUGCCUUUGAUACUGGCGAUCUUGAGUAUGAGAGAGGUAUGUGGAACUCCGAGUGUAGAGGUGAAAUUCUGACAUAUUCGGAAGAACACCAGUGGCGAAGGCGACAUACUGGCUCAUUACUGACUCUGAAGCGCGAAAGCGUGGCGAGCAGACAAGAUUAGAUCCUGUGAUAGUCCACGCCGUAAGCGAUGAUUGCUAGUUGUCGGGCUGCAUGCAGUUCGGUGACGCAGCUAACGCAUUAAGCAAUCCGCCUGGGGAGUACGGUCGCAAGAUUAAAACUCAAAGGAAUUGACGGGGGCCCGCACAAGCGGUGGAGCAUGUGGUUU